UACGAGUGCCUCAAGCGUUAUCCGGAAUCAUUGGGCGUAAAGGUUGUGUAGGUGGUUGUGUUAGUCUUUUGUUAAAUUCUUCGGCUUAACCGGGGGCAUGCAAGGGAAACGGCACGACUAGAGGAUGCGAGGGGUCUGCGGAACUCAUAGUGUAGCGGUGAAAUGCGUUGAUAUUAUGGGGAACACCAAAAGCGAAGGCAGCAGACUGGAGCACUCCUGACACUGAAACAAGAAAGCGUGGGUCGCGAAUGGG
rnacentral:rRNA from 1 species